UGACGGGGGCCCGCACAAACGGUAGAACAAGUGGUUUAAAUCGAAGAUACGCGAGGAACCUUACCUGGGCUUAAAAUGUGAAGUGCAAUGAGUGGGAACCAUCAUUUCCUUCGGGACCACUUACAAGGUGCUGCAUGGUUGUCGUCAGCUCGUGCCGUGAGGUGUCGGGUUAAGUCCCAUAACGAGUGCAACCCUUAUUGUUAGUUACCAGCGCGUCAAGCCGGGGACUCUAGCGGGACUGCCGCUGUAAGCCGAGAGGAAGGUGGGGAUGACGUCAAAUCAGCACGGCCCUUAUGUCCAGGGCUACACACGUGUUACAAUGGCCGGUACAGCGGGCAGCUAGACAGCGAGGUCAUGCUAAUCCCGAAAGCCGGUCCCAGUUCGGAUUGGAGUCUGCAACCCGACUCCAUGAAGGUGGAAUCGCUAGUAAUCGCGCAUCAGCCAUGGCGCGGUGAAUACGUUCCCGGGCAUUGUACACACCGCCCGUCAAGCCAUGGAAGUUUGGGGUACCUGAAGUCCGUCACCGCAAGGAGCGGUCUUAGGGUAAAACCAGAUGACUGGGGGCUAAGUCGUCANAAGGUA
rnacentral:rRNA from 1 species